CAAGGGGAAGGGAGAGGUAAGAGGCUGAGAAAAUGGGCAUUUCUUCCUGUCAGGCGAAGGAGAAGUAAUAUUCCACGAACGUCUGAGGUUGGCUGGCCAGCAGAGUUUGGAUGGUCGAACACAGUUUUUGGCUCUGCCUUUGAUGGUGGCCAGUUUCACAAAGAGCCUGCAGGAAGCUGCCUCCAGCAGGCUGAGUCCUGAGGAGGAGACGAUAACAGUGGGAGAAGCACCUGGUAACAGCGGCACUUCAUCCAGGAAGAAAACAGGAUCUAAAAUAUAAACAACAUCCUUACAACACAAGUGGGUGCACAGUUCACUCUCGAGUGUGUUCGACUAUAUUCUUCCAAGAGUCUCAUGAGAAUCUUACUGAAACAGGAAGAUGGUCAAAAGAUGAAUCGAAGUGUCAAGAUUUCCAGUGAACAUCAUCAAAAAGGUUUUUUCUGUUGUUGUUGUUGUUGAUCUUUUAUUUUUAAACAAUGAGUAUGACCAACCAUGCCAUAUCUGCAAUGUCGAACUAUUUUUUUAGCUGAAUAAAAAUUUAAAUACCUCAGAACUGACACUAUUUUAAGGGAAAUGAUGUAAAUGGGAACAAAACAAAAAGAAGAAAGCGUUUUGAUGAUCCUGUCUUUCUAAAAGCAUCUCUUCCAAAGCAGAUGUUAUCUUUAUUAAACAUCAUAGGAUCAGUAAAGAUGACAUUUAUUAAGUGUUCACCAUUCCAGGUAUUGUGCAAGGUGCUUCCUGGGUACCAUCUCAUUUAAUACUCUGGAAAGUUAUGCACAGAGAGGGUAAGCAGCUCUCCUAGUGUCUCAUAGCUAGUAAGUGAUGGACCCAGGACUGAGACCCAGGCAGUGUGGCUCAGAGUUGGCUGGCUUGCUUGUCCUUUACACUUUUGCCUAUCUGUACCACUUAUACAUUUUAGUAAGAAUUGUAUUGAUAGAGGCAUGAGGCAGAGAAAUUCUAGACAGACAGGGGUGGGCCCCUGGCAAAAUCCCACCUUCAGGUCAAAAAUCCCGAAACCCGCGGCUCAAAAGUGAGAAUUUCUAUCCCUGUUCGCUCACUCUCUCUCAAUUGGUUCUUUCUGAAUAAUGUCUUUCUAACCAUAAAAUGUUGCCUUUUCCAAAACUACCUGUGGCCUGGCAGGAUCCCCAUCUUGUGCCUAUAAAGACCCCAGACUCAGUCAGUAGAGGAGAGAAGCGGCUUGAUUGGAGAGAGCUGACUUGACUUCAGGGGGAUGGGUGGACUUUGGAGAAGAGACAGCCAGAGACAACGAGACUUCAGGGAAGAUUAUCUUCCUUUCCUGUCCCCUCUCCAGCAUCCCUCUCUGCUGAGAGCCACUUCCAUCGCUACAUAAAAUUCUCCACCUCCACCAUCCUUCAAGUGUCCGUGCAACCUAAUUCUUCUUGGAUGCCAGACAGGAGCUUGGGAUCCACCGAGUGUGGAUACCCAAAACAGGUUGUCAUACUGGCCCUGUGUGUUCACUGGUGGAGGGCAGCUGCUCCACACAAUGAGUCAAGGAAUCUACUGAGCUGAUAACACACUGCUAUCCAUGGACGGCGGAGCUAAGAAAGCAUUGUAACAUGCCCUCUGGGGCUUCAGGGGUCACAGGCACCCCCACCCUGGCAUUGCCACGGGGCCUGCCUGGAGCCUGCUCCUGCCAGCACCCAAAGCGGCUGUCUGGAACACUUGCUCGCUCAUACGCUCCCUCCCGCAAAAGGUUGAGUGCAGCAGGCCAAAUAAACAGGGCACCUCUGUUGCAAUUCCAACGAAAGGGUCGAGAAAAACUCCUGCAUCAGUAUUAUGUCCAUACUCUUUUUAAAAAGAUCCUGUGGCUGGUAAAUAAAAAGUCAUGAUCAGU
ensembl:lncRNA